GAUGAACGCUGGCGGCGUGCCUAAUACAUGCAAGUCGAGCGAACAGACGAGGAGCUUGCUCCUCUGACGUUAGCGGCGGACGGGUGAGUAACACGUGGAUAACCUACCUAUAAGACUGGGAUAACUUCGGGAAACCGGAGCUAAUACCGGAUAACAUGUUGAACCGCAUGGUUCAACAGUGAAAGACGGUCUUGCUGUCACUUAUAGAUGGAUCCGCGCCGCAUUAGCUAGUUGGUAAGGUAACGGCUUACCAAGGCAACGAUGCGUAGCCGACCUGAGAGGGUGAUCGGCCACACUGGAACUGAGACACGGUCCAGACUCCUACGGGAGGCAGCAGUAGGGAAUCUUCCGCAAUGGGCGAAAGCCUGACGGAGCAACGCCGCGUGAGUGGAGAAGGUCUUCGGAUCGUAAAACUCUGUUAUUAGGGAAGAACAAAUGUGUAAGUAACUAUGCACGUCUUGACGGUACCUAAUCAGAAAGCCACGGCUAACUACGUG
rnacentral:rRNA from 1 species